CGGAGCGUAGCGCAGCCUGGUAGCGCACCACUCUGGGGGAGUGGGGGUCGUGGGUUCGAAUCCCGCCGCUCCGACCA
rnacentral:tRNA from 2 species